GGGGGGGGCGGGGGGCGGGCUGGAGGCGUGCGGGUGGCGCGGGAGGGCCCUGAUGUUGUGGGGUGCUCGAGUGGGGAACGGGUGAUUCACCCGUGAGUAACCUGCCCUUCACUGUGGGCUAACUUCGAGCAACUGGGGCUAAUACCGGGUAGGAGCUCCUGCUGCCUGGUGGGUGUUGGCACAUUUCGGCGGUUGGGGAUGGCCUCGAGGCUUCUCUGCUUGUUGGUGGGGUAUUGGCUUACCAAGGCUUUGACGGGUAGCCGGCAUGAGAGGGUGCACGGCACCGUUGGGAUUGAGGAAAGGCACAGACUACUACGGGAGGCAGCAGUGGGGAAUAUUGAACAAUGGGCGGAAGCCUGAUGCAGCAACGCCGCGUGCGGGAUGACGGCCUUCGGGUUGUAAACCGCUUUCGCCUGUGACGAAGCGUGAGUGACGGUAAUGGGUAAAGAAGCACCGGCUAACUACGUG
rnacentral:rRNA from 1 species